rnacentral:rRNA from 1 species
CAGUCGCCGCGGGAAUACGUAGGUCCCGAGCGUUGUCCGGAUUUAUUGGGCGUAAAGGGAGCGCAGGCGGUCAGGAAAGUCUGGAGUAAAAGGCUAUGGCUCAACCAUAGUGUGCUCUGGAAACUGUCUGACUUGAGUGCAGAAGGGGAGAGUGGAAUUCCAUGUGUAGCGGUGAAAUGCGUAGAUAUAUGGAGGAACACCAGUGGCGAAAGCGGCUCUCUGGUCUGUCACUGACGCUGAGGCUCGAAAGCGUGGGUAGCGAACAGGAUUAGAUACCCGCGUAGUCCCUGUCUCUUAUACC